UCGUCUGGCCGUUGGAGGAUACCUUUUUCCUGCCAGCUGCAGGGUAGUGGAGAAGAGGCUGGUCUGGGAGCAGGCCGUGGGAGAUAUUUUUUGGGGGAGUUUUUUUUUGGAGAGGGGGAUUCAUCUUUCAGAGGAGGAAAAAAAGUUGAGGGGGGAGAGAGGAAAAGAGAGGACGGCUACAGGAAGAGUUUUUUAGGGGACUUUCUCUGGGAAAGCUACUAGAGAGAGAAGGAAGCUCGCGGGAGAGAGGGGUAAGCUUUGGAGAGAACUAGGGAUGGAAGGGGGGAGGAGUAGCAGAGAGGUGAGUUUUUGGAGAGCUUAGAGAGAGAUAUUUUUUUAGGGCAUUGCUUGACAAGCAAGCCGGACAGGAGAAUAAGUUUUCUUAGAGCUUGAGGAGAGCUCAGAGAGAAAACCAAGGGGAACUUGCUGGUGAGAAUAGGAGGGGAUAUCUUUUCUUUUCUAGAGGUAGCAGAGUGGAGAAGAAACAAGUUUGAAGGUAAGCAUCUCGGGAGUAAAAGGACUUCCUCAGAUUUUUGAAGAUGGAGAGGCUCGAAAACCAUCUAUGCAUACUGAUGUAGGUCCCGUGUCUGAGACAAGAGGUGCAGAAAAUGCCGAUUAUGCUGAUUCUGAUAAUAAAAACAGUGGGAUUUCUUGGGUCCUUAUUGUGAUGGUUGCCCUAUGUCACACCCUCAUGAGGAAGAAGACACCAAAACAGAAUAUCUCGGUAAAAUAUUAUGGUAUCAGCAGGGAAUGUCUCAAUGUCGUUACUGAUGAGUAAACUGACAUGGUUGCUGAGAAAGGCGUUUGUUUUGACAAGUCAACCACAGUUGAGAUCUCUGGAGACGCGCGGUCAUAGCCUAGAGCUCGCGCUGGAUGAGAUAUCAUUUGACUUGGCUGUGUCAAACAAAAAGGCGUACCAUACAGACUCCGCGGGAGCCUCAUGCUGCAUGCUAACUGAUGCUGAUUUUCUAAACUAUAAGUUUUGGAGGAAAACAGAAGGCCGGAGAUCAGCAUCAAGGCUUUCUUCUUCUCAAACCACUCAAUCAAGCAUCCGAUGAAACGCUGCACUUGAUCCUUGAGACACUGCAAGCAGCUAUAAAGACGGGUCAUGAAGCAUCUGCAGCAAUAAAACCCAUCAAUCUCAUUAUCCAUCAAGUCAAGCCAAACCAUUUCUCCAACCUCUUCACAGCCAUACCCGUCUUUCUUACCCCUGAACAUACCUAUUCUCCAUACCCAUUAAAUCUACUCCUCUUCACCACUCCUUCCACUGAUCCUAAGCCUUAUCUCUCUACACUACACGCCUCCAUACCCAUCUUCUAAUGCCCGUCACCACACCACUCCCUCACACUAUCCCACUCACCCAUGUUCAAAAGAAUGCGUGGCUAAAACACUGAGGAUGUUAAGGAGUUCCAGAGAGUGCCAGGGUGCAGAUGUAUAUAUAUUUCCAUGCAGUGAACAGAUUGCAAGAUGCCCACGAACAGAUCGGUACAGUCGUCUCAACAGUUUUGAAGGCAAGCCACCUGCUUCUCAUAUUUCUGGGGUCUUCGGAACGGGGUCUGAUUGGACAUUUUUCUAGUAUCCAACCGAAUUUGAUGCUGGAAGUGGGAGAAAUUCAAGGAAGGCCUGCGAAGACUACCUCUCAUGUCUUUGAUAACGAGAAUCAUUCCAGCUUGGAUUGAUAUUAUCCCAAAAGCUCCAGUUUUGCCAAAAGAUCCAAGAAUAAACGAAGCAAUGAAUGCUAGAAUCAUGGUACAAUCUUUCAAACGAGUUCAAGGUGCAGUUGCAGUGGAAAUCCUCCUAUCAAACUGAUCUCAUUCUCCAAACAAGCAGCUGAAACUUUGAUGAUAAGUGGGUCUAGUCAUUUAUGGUCGGACUCUCCCGGGGAUUGAGCACAUAGUUACACAGUUGUGAUUAUAUCCCCAAGUACUAACAUGAGUGAAGAUUUGAAAUCUCAGCAGUGGUGGCACCAUGUUGAGAAGGGAACCCUCCUUGAAGCUGCAGAUCACCAACUUUUGAAGAAUUUGAAGAAAAAUAUGAAGAAUUUGAAAACAAAAUAUGGAGGAACACCUCAAUUCAUUCUGUGAUACCUCCCUUUACAAUGAAUGAAAGCAUAAAUAAAUAGCCUACGGAUAUGAGACAAUUCCGGAA